rnacentral:rRNA from 1 species
UACAGAGGGUGCGAGCGUUAAUCGGAAUUACUGGGCGUAAAGCGCGCGUAGGCGGCUUUGCAAGUCGGGUGUGAAAUCCCCAGGCUUAACCUUGGAACUGCAUUCGAGACUGCAUUGCUAGAGUAUGGGAGAGGGAAGUGGAAUUUCCGGUGUAGCGGUGAAAUGCGUAGAUAUCGGAAGGAACAUCAGUGGCGAAAGCGACUUCCUGGACCAAUACUGACGCUCAUGUGCGAAAGCGUGGGGAGCAAACAGG